GAGAGUAUUACAUUUCCGGCAAUUAUACGUGCACGGUCCUAAUUAUGGAUGUCUAACAAAGUUAGAGUACCAAAGUAAAAAAGGCGCUUAACACACGGUGCGCAGCGGAUUUCAUAGGUUCUCCUUUAGGGAGCCUAUUGGUCAAAUAUUAAAGUAGCAGGCGGUGCUUGUUUUAGCUAUAAGCGGCCUGGUUGGAGCUCUGGGCAUAUCCGCCCACACUGGCUCACGUCCCAUUGGUUGCUGUCAUCUUUCAGUGUGUGUGUAUGUUGUCGAGUGCACAUGUGCGAAUCUGGUGUGGACGGGUUUUAUUGGGCAAUCUGUUCUAUCUCCUUAUCUUUAUUACUUGCCUGUCUUCUACAGAGAGGGUAUUUUCCUCGUAGAGUACGACUUUGCCUACUCCUUAAGCCAGGUGGUUGUUUCAUCUUGUGUGUGUGUCAGGCCCUUCCUGGCCUGGUGUGCAUUUAUAUAUGUGUGUGUGUCAGGCCCUCCCUGGCCUGGUGUGACUGAUUCAUCAUUUGUAUAUGUGUGUGUCUCAGGCCCUUCCUGGCCUGGUGUGGCUGUUCAAAGUUGGUGUGUAGACGCGGGGAUGCUCCCACGCCGUUUCUGACCUUUUGCAGCACCUUUCCACUCUUUCUGAGUGCCUGAGCUUACGUGUAAUAAAGUAAAACGUGCUUGUUAAGACAGCUGUCAUGGUUACUUUAUGUUUGUUAAUACAACUGUCAUGGCUAUCCUAUAUCACUAAUAAGGUGAAGUGUGUUGUUUAACACUGCUGUAAUAAGGUGAAGUGUGUUGGUUAAUACUGCUGUCAUGAUUAUUUUAUAUUACAAAUCCCCCUUUUCACACCUACUAGGUGUGAAUUUUUAGCUUGAUUAUGAUGUUGUCUCCUCUUCUCUAUCAAGGUCUGAAUCAUAAACGUCUGCUGAUAUUAAGGGAUAGGCACCAUAGGGAGGGGGAGAAUUUUCUUUAGUAAUGGCAGUGGUGAUAAGUCUGCCCACCAUCGUGCGAAUGCAUGGAAUGCAGCAGCACCCACAGGUGACUAGGAUGGCAAUGAACACUGCUACAGAUACGGCUAUGGACAUGAUCAAGGUUUUCCAUUUGCCGAACAUGUUCUCCAUCCAGUCUGAGAACGGAUUGUCGAUGCCAGAUGCAGCAUGCAUUUCAUCGGCUA